GGUCUGAUUCAUAAGGCUACACGCAAGGCUCUGUUGAUGUUCAGAAGCUCUGCCUGAUCUAGCUGGCUAUGCAGGUUGAUCCUUGCUCCCUCACUCUUCCAUGUGUAUCCUUUCUGAAGCUGCAAGCUCAGGUGAAGAGAACAAUUUUCUGUGAUAGUGGAGGAUCAUUCUUGGCUCACAGGUAUGAGUAGCUGUACUUCUCUGCUAGAACCUCCAAACAAGUCUGCCAAGGUUCAUGCAUGAUCUGUAAUCAAAUGGAAAGACUGGGGCAAUAUCCACUUGAAACGAUGCCUAAUUAUAAAGU
ensembl:misc_RNA 7SK 7SK RNA